rnacentral:rRNA from 1 species
AUUGAACGCUGGCGGCAGGCCUAACACAUGCAAGUCGAGCGGAUGAAGGGAGCUUGCUCCUGGAUUCAGCGGCGGACGGGUGAGUAAUGCCUAGGAAUCUGCCUGGUAGUGGGGGAAAACGCCCGGAACCGGGGGCUAAUACCGCAUACGUCCUGGGGGGGAAGGUGGGGGACCUUCGGACCCCACGCUAUAAGUGAAACCUAGGUCGGAUAAGCUAGUUGGUGGGGUAAAGGCCUACCAAGGCGACGAUCCGUAACUGGUCUGAGAGGAUGAUCAGUCACACUGGAACUGAGACACGGUCCAGACUCCUACGGGAGGCAGCAGUGGGGAAUAUUGGACAAUGGGCGAAAGCCUGAUCCAGCCAUGCCGCGUGUGUGAAGAAGGUCUUCGGAUUGUAAAGCACUUUAAGUUGGGAGGAAGGGCAGUAAGUUAAUACCUUGCUGUUUUGACGUUACCAACAGAAUAAGCACCGGCUAACUUCGUG